UGAGGAAUAUUGGUCAAUGGGCGAGAGCCUGAACCAGCCAAGUCGCGUGAAGGAAGACGGUUCUAUGAAUUGUAAACUUCUUUUGUAGAGGAAUAAAGUGGGUUACGUGUAGCCUUUUGUAUGUACUUUACGAAUAAGGAUCGGCUAACUCCGUGCCAGCAGCCGCGGUAAUACGGAGGAUCCAAGCGUUAUCCGGAUUUAUUGGGUUUAAAGGGUGCGUAGGUGGAUUGGUAAGUCAGCGGUGAAAGUUUGCAGCUUAACUGUAAAAUUGCCGUUGAAACUGUCAGUCUUGAGUGCAAAUGAGGUAGGCGGAAUGUGUUGUGUAGCGGUGAAAUGCUUAGAUAUAACACAGAACUCCGAUUGCGAAGGCAGCUUACUGGGAUGCAACUGACACUGAUGCACGAAAGCGUGGGUAUCAAACA
rnacentral:rRNA from 1 species